rnacentral:rRNA from 1 species
ACGGGUGAGUAAUGUCUGGGAAACGUGCCUGAUGGAGGGGGAUAACUACUGGAAACGGUAGCUAAUACCGCAUAACGUCGCAAGACCAAAGAGGGGGACCUUCGGGCCUCUUGCCAUCGGAUGUGCCCAGAUGGGAUUAGCUAGUAGGUGGGGUAACGGCUCACCUAGGCGACGAUCCCUAGCUGGUCUGAGAGGAUGACCAGCCACACUGGAACUGAGACACGGUCCAG